UACGUAGGGGGCUAGCGUUGUCCGGAAUCAUUGGGCGUAAAGCGCGUGUAGGCGGUCCGGUAAGUCCGCUGUGAAAGUCGAGGGCUCAACCCUCGAAUGCCGGUGGAUACUGUCGGGCUUGAGUACGGGAGAGGCGAGUGGAAUUCCUGGUGUAGCGGUGAAAUGCGCAGAUAUCAGGAGGAACACCGAUUGCGAAAGCAGCUCGCUGGAACGUUACUGACGCUGAGACGCGAAAGCGUGGGGAGCAAACAGG
rnacentral:rRNA from 1 species